rnacentral:rRNA from 1 species
AUUGAACGCUGGCGGCAGGCCUAACACAUGCAAGUCGAGCGGAGCGGCGGACGGGUGAGUAAUGUAUGGGGAUCUGCCCGAUAGAGGGGGAUAACUACUGGAAACGGUGGCUAAUACCGCAUACUAUCGGAUGAACCCAUAUGGGAUUAGCUAGUAGGUGGGGUAAAGGCUCACCUAGGCGACGAUCUCUAGCUGGUCUGAGAGGAUGAUCAGCCACACUGGGACUGAGACACGGCCCAGACUCCUACGGGAGGCAGCAGUGGGGAAUAUUGGACAAUGGGCGAAAGCCUGAUCCAGCCAUGCCGCGUGUGUGAAGAAGGUCUUCGGAUUGUAAAGCACUUUAAGUUGGGAGGCGUUACCAACAGAAUAAGCACCGGCUAACUUCGUGCCAGCAGCCGCGGUAAUUC